UACGGAGGGUGCGAGCGUUAAUCGGAAUUACUGGGCGUAAAGCGCACGCAGGCGGUUUGUUAAGCUAGAUGUGAAAGCCCCGGGCUCAACCUGGGAUGGUCUUUUAGAACUGGCAGACUAGAGUCUUGGAGAGGGGAGUGGAAUUCCAGGUGUAGCGGUGAAAUGCGUAGAUAUCUGGAGGAACAUCAGUGGCGAAGGCGACUCCCUGGCCAAAGACUGACGCUCAUGUGCGAAAGUGUGGGUAGCGAACAGG
rnacentral:rRNA from 1 species